ACGUAGGAGACGAACGUUAUCCGGAGUUACUGGGCGUAAAGGGCGUGUAGGCGGUUUGUUAAGUCUGGCGUGAAAGCUCUCGGCUAAACCGGGAGAGGUCGUUGGAUACUGGCAAACUUGAGGAUGGUAGAGGCGUGUGGAAUUCCGGGUGUAGUGGUGAAAUGCGUAGAGAUCGGAAGGAACGUCAAUGGCGAAGGCAGCCACCUGGCAUAAUACUGACGCUGAGGCGCGAAAGCGUGGGGAGCAAACAGG
rnacentral:rRNA from 1 species